UAAAUGCUAUAAAUGCUAAUUUUUAUGAAUGGUCUUGUAUAGAUAAAGAGGAGCGAUGAAGGAAGACAUUUGGAAUAGAAAAGUGUAGAAGGAGCCAGGAGAAACUAAGGGCUUUGAACAAGAAGCAGCGGAGGAGUUGGGUCAAGACAAGUCAAGAGUUUUGUGGAGCAGAUUCCUAACAUCUCAAAGAAGGAAGCCAAACUUAUUCAGUGUUAGCAGAAAUCACUCUCUGUUUCCUGCAGAGCCACCUGUCAGCAGUUCACGGGCAGGCUCCAGACUCAGCAGGAAUGGAGGGAACUCACUGCAGCUCGCGGAAGGAAGACCUCACAUGGCCAAGUGGUCAGUUCUCCCCUAAUGGAUCCUGGCAUUUGACACAAUUCCAAUCAAAAUUGCAAUGGGAAUUUUUUAAACUUGA